rnacentral:lncRNA from 1 species
AAAAGAGGCUCAGAGAUGUGCAGUGCUGGCCAGGGAUGGGGGUGACAGGGGAGGGACCAGAGUCCAGGUGUUCUGACUGUGUCCUCUCCACACUGCCUGUGGCCACCAGAGGAUGGUCGUGACAUCCAUCGGUCACCCCGGGCCCGUUCCUGCCUGGACUGACCCACUCCCAGCUGUUGGUGGACUUGCUCUUCCAUUCGUUCCACAUUGGAAUGGGUGCAAUGGUGGCCCCAAAAAUGACACGUCCACACCCCAACCUCCAGAACCUACAAAUGUGAGCUUAUUUGGAGAAAGAGUCUUUGCAGACGGGAUGACGUUAAUGAUCUAGAGAAUGAGAACAUUCUAGAUCCUCCAGUGUGGGGAUGGACUCAGAUGAGACGGGGCUAGAAAGAGGAAAACCAGCAGGAGGCUUUGCCAGGCCCAGACCAGGCCGGCGCUGAGGAUGGGCAUCUUCUGGACCCCAGCUGGGGACGUGCUGUCAGUGUUCAGGCUGUGGGGAGCACCCACACACAGAAACGCCCAGUGUCAGCUGGAGUCCGUUCCACCAACACCGACCAGCGCACAUCAGGGCUGGACUCUGCUCCAGGGGACAGUGAGGUGGACUUGGGCCUGGCUGGUGCCCUCAGGGGACAAAGGGCACAAGGUAGAUUUGCCAAGAAGUACUCCAGGAGGGCCAGACGUGCUGAGCGCUCCCGGGGCGGGUACACAGAGCAGGGGGAACACAGGAGAAAUGCG